GCAGCCGAUACGGGCAAGCUAGAGUUUGGUAGGGGAGACUGGAAUUCCUGGUGUAGCGGUGGAAUGCGCAGAUAUCAGGAGGAACACCGAUGGCGAAGGCAGGUCUCUGGGCCAAUACUGACACUGAGGAGCGAAAGCGUGGGGAGCGAACAGGAUUAGAUACCCUGGUAGUCCACGCCGUAAACGGUGGGCGCUAGUUGUGCGAACCUUCCACGGUUUGUGCGACGCAGCUAACGCAUUAAGCGCCCCGCCUGGGGAGUACGAUCGCAAGAUUAAAACUCAAAGGAAUUGACGGGGCCCCGCACAAGCAGCGGAGCAUGCGGCUUAAUUCGACGCAACGCGAAGAACCUUACCAAGGCUUGACAUAUACAGGAAUAUGGCAGAGAUGUCAUAGCCGCAAGGUCUGUAUACAGGUGGUGCAUGGUUGUCGUCAGCUCGUGUCGUGAGAUGUUGGGUUAAGUCCCGCAACGAGCGCAACCCUCGUUCUGUGUUGCCAGCAUUUAGUUUGGGGACUCACAGGAGACUGCCGGGGUUAACUCGGAGGAAGGUGGGGAUGACGUCAAAAUCAUCAUGCCCCUUAUGUCUUGGGCUGCACGCAUUG
rnacentral:rRNA from 1 species